AUUGAACGCUGGCGGCAGGCCUAACACAUGCAAGUCGAGCGGAUGAAGGGAGCUUGCUCCUGUCUUCAGCGGCGGACGGGUGAGUAAUGCCUAGGAAUCUGCCUUGUAGUGGGGGAUAACGUCCGUACACGGGCGCUAAUACCGCAUACGUCCUGAGGUAGAAAGUGGUGGAUCUUCGGACCUCACGCUAUCAGCUGAGCCUAGGUCGGAUUAGCUAGUUGGUGGGUAAAGGCCUACCAAGGCGACGAUCCGUAACUGGUCUGAGAGGAUGAUCAGUCACACUGGAACUGAGACACGGUCCAGACUCCUACGGGAGGCAGCAGUGGGGAAUAUUGGACAAUGGGCGAAAGCCUGAUCCAGCCAUGCCGCGUGUGUGAAGAAGGUCUUCGGAUUGUAAAGCACUUUAAGUUGGGAGGAAGGGCAGUAAGUUAAUACCUUGCUGUUUUGACGUUACCAACAGAAUAAGCACCGGCUAACUUCGUG
rnacentral:rRNA from 1 species